ensembl:misc_RNA Metazoa_SRP Metazoan signal recognition particle RNA
GCCGGGCGUGAUGGCUCACGCCUGUAAUUCCAGCACUUUUGGAGGCUGAGGUGGGUGGAUCACCUGAGGUCAGGAGUUCGAGACCAGCCUGACCAAUAUAGUGAAACCCCAUCUUUA